rnacentral:rRNA from 1 species
UACGAAGGGGGCUAGCGUUGCUCGGAAUGACUGGGCGUAAAGGGCGCGUAGGCGGAUUGUACAGUCAGGCGUGAAAUUCCCGGGCUCAACCUGGGGGCUGCGCUUGAGACGUGCGAUCUUGAGUGGGGAAGAGGGUCGUGGAAUUCCCAGUGUAGAGGUGAAAUUCGUGGAUAUUGGGAAGAACACCGGUGGCGAAGGCGGCGACCUGGUCCUUGACUGACGCUGAGGCGCGAAAGCGUGGGGAGCAAACAGG